AACUUUCGACAAUGGAUCUCUUGGCUCUCGCAUCGAUGAAGAACGAAGCGAAAUGCGAUAAGUAAUGUGAAUUGCAGAAUUCAGUGAAUCAUCGAAUCUUUGAACGCACCUUGCGCUCCUUGGUAUUCCGAGGAGCAUGCCUGUUUGAGUGUCAUUAAAUUCUCAACCAUUGUUAACUUUUGGGUUAGCAAAUGGCUUGGAUGUGGGGGUGUGCACGUUUCUCUACUGAAAUUAGCUCCCGUGAAAUACAUUAGCUGCUUGCCUUGUGUAAACUUGUCUAUUUGUGUGAUAAUUAUCUACGCCGUGGACUAUUUGCCGUUUUUAGCAUUGCUUAUAAUCGUCUGUUAGGCCAGACAAUAUAUGCCAAUUUGACCACAAAUGAGGCAGGACUACCCGCUGAGCUCAAGCAUAUCAAUAAGCGGAGGCU
rnacentral:misc_RNA from 1 species